rnacentral:rRNA from 1 species
GACGAACGCUGGCGGCGUGCCUAAUACAUGCAAGUCGAGCGCAGGAAACUGACGGAACUCUUCGGAGGGAAGGCAGCGGAAUGAGCGGCGGACGGGUGAGUAACACGUAAGGAACCUGCCUCAAGGAUUGGGAUAACUCCGAGAAAUCGGAGCUAAUACCGGAUAGUUCAUCGGACCGCAUGGUCCGUUGAUGAAAGGCGCUCCGGCGUCACCUUGAGAUGGCCUUGCGGUGCAUUAGCUAGUUGGUGGGGUAACGGCCCACCAAGGCGACGAUGCAUGGCCGACCUGGGAGGGUGAGCGGCCACGCUGGGACUGUGAAACGGCCCAGCCUCCUACGGGAGGCAGCAGUAGGGAAUCUUCCACAAUGGACGAAAGUCUGAUGGAGCAACGCCGCGUGAGUGAUGAAGGUUUUCGGAUCGUAAAACUCUGUUGUAAGGGAAGAACACGUACGAGAGGGAAUGCUCGUACCUUGACGGUACCUUACGAGAAAGCCACGGCUAACUACGUGCCAGCCGCCGCCGUAAAAC